CUUCUGUUAGAAGCUGCCAGAAGCUUCCCCUGUCUGGUGGAGCCAAUGCCAGCCGGCUCCAGGACGGACUUCCUGCCGCUGGCCAAGGCCGAGCCAGUCAGGAGCAAUAGUAACACCUCUGGGAUAACAUAUUUAAGAACAGAAGGUUGUUGUGCAGAAGGAAUUCCAGCCAGGGAAGAGCAGAAUGAGUACAUGGGAACAGCAAUGCAGACACCAAAGGGCAGUGCAGAAGGAGGGGCAGGACGUGCUCCGGGCACCAGAGCUGAGGCCCUGCAGCCCGUGGGGCAGAGCAGGGUGGGGCAGCUGUGCCCCUGCAGCCCCUGGGGGAGCAUCGGGGUGCAGAGACCCCCCUGUGGCCCAUGGGGGACCAUCAGGGUGCAGAGACCUCCCUGCAGCCCAUGGAGGCUCCCAUGCUGGAGUAGGAGGAUGCAGGAAGGAGGCUGUGACCCCGUGUGAGGCCAGGAUGGAGCAGGGUCCUGCCAGAGAGCUGUGACCUGUGGGGAGGGAAGCCCACGCUGGAGCAGGUUUUUCCCAGGUGGGAUUUGUGGCCCCUGUUGGGGACCCACGUGAGUACAGCUCAUCCAUGAAGGACUGCACCCCAUGGAGGAGUGACCCACAGGACAGCAGGUUGGGAAGAGCUGCUGCCCGAGGGAUGGACUCACACCAGAGGACUCCAACACCUCUCCUUGAGCAGUGGCAGAAACAACAACUGACCAUGACCCCCAUUCUCAUCCCCCUGCAUCGCUCAGGGAGAGGAGGAAGAACAUGGAAGGAAAAAGGGGUAGGGGGAAGGUGUUUUUAAGAUUGUUCUAUUUCUCACUCUUUGGCUCUUAUCCUUUUAGUAAUAAAUUCAAGUACCAUCCCCACUUUGAGUCUGUUUUGCCCAUGAAGGUGAUCAGUCACUGACCUCUCCCAGCUGUUAUCUCUACUCAUUAAUCCUUAGUUGGUUUUUUUUCUCUCUCCUCUGUCCAGUUGCAGAGGGAGAGUGAGAGAGCAGCUUUAGUGCCUGGCAUCCAGACAGGGUCAACCCACUACAACUGAUAGCAGGUCCUUUCAUAAAAAGUGAGUUCUAUAACCACACCAGAGGUAUCCACUGUUACUUAUCAACUGGGGGGCAGGUUUCUUGGUCUAGCCAGCCUAAGCUUCAUAAACUAUUUGAGGAAGUUUAGAAGUGGGGCUUUUUGCUCUCAAGUCCAAGCACUAGUGGUGUUUCAAGGGCUAAGUUGAAAGCCCAGCACAACUGGCACACUAACCACAAACAGCUCAGGUUUUGAAAGGCUGGCUCAGUGCAGUCAAUCCUGGAAAUUAAGUCUUCCACACCUGCCCAUAUGUUGUUAAUUUGAGUGGACUAGAAAUGAUGUUCAUAUCAUGAGAUAUCCUUCCAUCUGAUCUGUUCAAAGUGCAGUUUUGCUGCCUUCACAUUCUGUAUCCUCAUUUAUAUGGAAUCAUAAAAUAGUUCGGGUGAAAGGGACCUUAAAGGUCAUCUUGUUCCAAUGAAUAUCAAGAUGUAUGCGGAAUAAUAAGUGCAGACACUCAAAAUUCCAAAUACCUCUCUUUCAUGAAUGCUUGAAAAUCCACACCAGAGGGCAGUACUGGGGUUGCUCGUACGUACAAGAGCUUAAUCACAGAAGGCAACUACAUAUCGAUGUGUGUGUCUGUAAUAAAACUCUAGUGCAAUAGAGACUUGGACGGCCAAAUAAGAGGUGUCUGGAUUCCUAAAUUCUGGAUGGUAGCUAUAAAAGAAGAAAGGAAGAACAGACUUUUGGAGGGAAGCAAUGAAAACUGACAACUUUGAUUCAUAUUCUAUCAGUUUAAAUUUUUUAGAAAACUGAAUAGACAAAUAUCUAAGAUUCAGUUUUCUGACAAAGACUACAAAGUUGUCAGCUAAUAAAUGUCAGUCAUCCAUGGAGCUGAGCAGACCUAAGGACCAAAAAUUAACAUAUAUUAUAGAAAUAAUCCUGUACUACUUUAUUUGCCUUACAUUUUACCAUAUAAUAAAAAAUAUUGUCAAUACUGCACAGACAAGCUCUCUGAGCUAAGCACAAACAGAACUAAAGCUGCAUGUGUGACAUCAACUUGGCCUCUUUGUGCUUGUGAGCUUAUUAUUCUAGUGUGGUUUGGUGGGGUAUUAAGGCAAUACACAAAGGAGGUAGUUGUCUAUUCAAUUCCUGCAUUCACAGAAUGAAUGAAAUAUUGAGUUGUUGGUCUUUAAGUUAAGGAAAAUGAACACCACACAGGAGAGCAAGCCUUCUAUCUCAAUCUCUGACUUGAAAUUUUUUUUCUUAAACUGAAUUUUCUAUCUCAACCUUUGACAUGAGAUUUUUUUUUUCUUAAUCUGAAUGAUCAUUAAUUAAUCUUCAUUGCCUAAAUAUUCAGUUUGACCACCUGUGUUCUAAAAGUACAGGGUAUUCACCAACUGCAAUUGGCAUAAAUUUAGAGCUGCUGUUUGGCAAAGAUCUUCACAAAACACAAGUCCUUGUUCUGCAUAUUCAAGCUAAAAGUUAGCAGAUACAUAUUCCAAUAUGCCACAGAUGAAAACUGACAAAAUCAUUCAUAAUACAUGUAACCUGGCAUGCCAAAUCAGGACUACCCAUUCCAGAAUCGACUGGUAUGUAAACAAAGCCUCAUGAAUGGCCUAGUGACUGCUUUAUAAAGAUUUGCUUUAAAUUCAUGUCUGCUCUUAUUCUAGAUUAAUUUUCACCUGUAAAAUAAAAUCAUUACUUAUAGCCUACUUCUUGCCUCUGAAUUGAUAAAUUCCUCAUGUACCUUUUUAGUGCAUAUGUUGCUACCAUACAAGAAGUAGAAGCUAGAUGUCCUUCAGUUUGCACACACAAGCAAUUGUCAACAAAUCUGGCUUUGGAGUUUGACUUCAGUUGCUUUCAAACAGGGCAAUUGAUUUACGGUCAAUGCAAUCACAAACACAUGAAGACUUAUUUAAAAUAUCUCCUUGUAAUCUGAUGUGUAUUGCCAUUUCUAAACUUAGAUAGCAGCAAUUUGAGACCCAGGACUGGAGAGGUGUUUUCAUUAGAGAUUCCUGUUCUCAGAGUGCUGGCAUUUCUGACAGAAUGAUUUUACUUAUGCAUCUCAAUCCAAAGAUGAUAUUUGUUGCUGUUGCUUUCUGAGCAUGGCAAAUAAAAUAAAAAAUAUUUUCUCAAA